UACGUAGGGUGCAAGCGUUGUCCGGAAUUAUUGGGCGUAAAGAGCUCGUAGGCGGUCUGUCGCGUCUGCUGUGAAAACCUAGGGCUUAACUCUGGGCGUGCAGUGGGUACGGGCAGGCUAGAGUGCGGUAGGGGAGACUGGAAUUCCUGGUGUAGCGGUGGAAUGCGCAGAUAUCAGGAGGAACACCGGUGGCGAAGGCGGGUCUCUGGGCAGUAACUGACGCUGAGGAGCGAAAGCGUGGGGAGCGAACAGG
rnacentral:rRNA from 1 species